GCCGGGGUGGCGGAAUUGGUAGACGCGCUAGAUUCAGGUUCUAGUGUCCGUAAGGAUGUGCGAGUUCAAAUCUCGCCCUCGGCACCA
rnacentral:tRNA from 1 species